rnacentral:rRNA from 1 species
CUAGACCUGAAAUCAGUCGAGGUUACCCGCUGAAUUUAAGCAUAUUACUAAGCGGAGGAAAAGAAAAUAACUAUGAUUCCCUCAGUAACGGCGAGUGAAGCGGGAUGAGCUCAAAGUGAAAAUCGCUGUUUCUUUUGAAACCGCGAAUUGUAGC